ACGAACGCUGGCGGCAUGCCUAACACAUGCAAGUCGAACGAGACCUUCGGGUCUAGUGGCGCACGGGUGCGUAACGCGUGGGAAUCUACCCUUGGGUUCGGGAUAACAGUUGGAAACGACUGCUAAUACCGGAUGAUGACUUCGGUCCAAAGAUUUAUCGCCCAGGGAUGAGCCCGCGUAGGAUUAGCUUGUUGGUGAGGUAAGAGCUCACCAAGGCGACGAUCCUUAGCUGGUCUGAGAGGAUGAUCAGCCACACUGGGACUGAGACACGGCCCAGACUCCUACGGGAGGCAGCAGUGGGGAAUAUUGGACAAUGGGCGAAAGCCUGAUCCAGCAAUGCCGCGUGAGUGAUGAAGGCCUUAGGGUUGUAAAGCUCUUUUACCCGGGAUGAUAAUGACAGUACCGGGAGAAUAAGCCCCGGCUAACUCCGU
rnacentral:rRNA from 1 species